rnacentral:misc_RNA from 1 species
GCAAACUUGGUCAUUUAGAGGAAGUAAAAGUCGUAACAAGGUCUCCGUUGGUGAACCAGCGGAGGGAUCAUUACCGAGUCUCGAUACCCGCGUAUAUCCUGUGAACCCACGGCGCAAGCCGCGAUUAUUGCCUCGGCCAGCGGCCCCAGGGCGGGGCCCCCGGCCUGGGUAGACCAGGCGCUGGCCGGCGGCGCAAACUUCUGGAUCGUGAUCGAGGGAGCUCUGAGUGGAGGGAUAUUCCAAACUGGACAUAAAACUUUCAACAACGGAUCUCUUGGUUCUGGCAUCGAUGAAGAACGCAGC